UCUCUCUCUCUCUCUCUCUCUCUGUUUCUGAAGCUUAAUUACUUGCGGCAUUCCAUUUCUGUAUUCUUCAUUUCUUUCUUCUUCCCUAUCUCUCUCUGUAAGAUCAUGCCUGUUUUUGUAGAGAGUUCAUCCACUAUAGCGGAGCAAAUCAAGCUGAGAAAACCCAGAAACCAAUUCCAUCACCAACAUCAACAAGAAGAGAAUCCCAUUUCUACACAAGAAACAGAUCCACCCCCACAUAUCUGUCGUCCCUCCAAAUCCACCAUCUCCUCUAUCUUCCUUUCCCCCU
rnacentral:misc_RNA from 1 species